rnacentral:rRNA from 1 species
ACAGUUCCCCGNNNCCGGNAACAAGGAGCUGGUAUCAGGCCCAUCCAAUUCAGCCCACGACACCUUGCUUAGCCACACCCCCAAGGGAAUUCAGCAGUGAUAGACAUUAAGCCAUAAGUGAAAACUUGACUUAGUCAAAGCUAAGAGGGCCGGUAAAACUCGUGCCAGCCACCGCGGUUAUACGAGAGACCCAAGUUGAUAGACCUCGGCGUAAAGCGUGGUUAGGAAAGAACUAAAACUAAAGCCGAACACCUUCAGAACUGUUAUACGUAUCCGAAGGUAAGAAGUUCAACUACGAAAGUGGCUUUAUAGCCUCUGAACCCACGAAAG